AGUGAACGCUGGCGGUAGGCCUAACACAUGCAAGUCGAACGGCAGCACAGUAAGAGCUUGCUCUUACGGGUGGCGAGUGGCGGACGGGUGAGGAAUACAUCGGAAUCUACUUUUUCGUGGGGGAUAACGUAGGGAAACUUACGCUAAUACCGCAUACGACCUACGGGUGAAAGCAGGGGAUCUUCGGACCUUGCGCGAUUGAAUGAGCCGAUGUCGGAUUAGCUAGUUGGCGGGGUAAAGGCCCACCAAGGCGACGAUCCGUAGCUGGUGUGAGAGGAUGAUCAGCCACACUGGAACUGAGACACGGUCCAGACUCCUACGGGAGGCAGCAGUGGGGAAUAUUGGACAAUGGGCGCAAGCCUGAUCCAGCCAUACCGCGUGGGUGAAGAGGGCCUUCGGGUUGUAAAGCCCUUUUGUUGGGAAAGAAAAGCAGCAGGUUAAUACCCCGCUGUUCUGACGGUACCCAAAGAAUAAGCACCGGCUAACUUCGUG
rnacentral:rRNA from 1 species